rnacentral:rRNA from 1 species
AGUGAACGCUGGCGGUAGGCCUAACACAUGCAAGUCGAACGGCAGCACAGUAAGAGCUUGCUCUUACGGGUGGCGAGUGGCGGACGGGUGAGGAAUACAUCGGAAUCUACUUUUUCGUGGGGGAUAACGUAGGGAAACUUACGCUAAUACCGCAUACGACCUACGGGUGAAAGCAGGGGAUCUUCGGACCUUGCGCGAUUGAAUGAGCCGAUGUCGGAUUAGCUAGUUGGCGGGGUAAAGGCCCACCAAGGCGACGAUCCGUAGCUGGUCUGAGAGGAUGAUCAGCCACACUGGAACUGAGACACGGUCCAGACUCCUACGGGAGGCAGCAGUGGGGAAUAUUGGACAAUGGGCGCAAGCCUGAUCCAGCCAUACCGCGUGGGUGAAGAAGGCCUUCGGGUUGUAAAGCCCUUUUGUUGGGAAAGAAAAGCAGCAGGUUAAUACCCCGCUGUUCUGACGGUACCCAAAGAAUAAGCACCGGCUAAAUUCGUG